rnacentral:lncRNA from 1 species
GCACAACAUUUCAACCUUGACUGCUGUUGGGGAUUCAAAUAGAGGGAAUAUGCCAGCUUGCUUUGGAAGCUGUACGUGUGCACGCCUUUGAUUGUCAAGGCCCAUUGUGAAUAUCUGGACUUUUCCUGUGAGGAGUGAGUGGAGAAUGGGGAGAAGGGCUCAGGAAGAAAUCUUUCUGCUCUCAUUUGCCUCCGAUCCUUGCCAUUAGUUCAGGAACAAAGCUCUUUCUGACCUUCAUAGCGGGCCUGGUUCAGGGCCUUUAUGGACUGGUCAACCCCAAAGGUCUGUUUCCCUCUCCCCUGCUUGUGGCAGGCCUCUUCAAGAGGCAUAACCCUUUGGGGUGCCCUGAAGGAUAACCUAGCCUUUCCCAAGUCUGCCAAGCACCCAGUACUUGAGGAGAAGCCAGGCGUUUUAGCACUGCCACCAGGUGAGUAGCCAGAUGAGCUGUGAGUGGCAUUCUAGGCUAGUGCUGUCCAGUAGAACUU